UGGGAAACGGGUCAAGAUUCCCGUACCGGUUGUGAAUGCGAUGGGGGGACGGAGAAGGGUAGCUCAGCGGCCUGUUGGAAUAGGUCGUUUAAGCGUGUAGGAGUGGUCUCCUGGCAAAUCCGGAGAUCUUAUCUGAGGCGUGAUGACGAGGGUCUACGGACCUGAAGUGAGUAAUCCCAAGCUUCCAGGAAAAGCCUCUAAGCUUCAGUUCACAACUGACCGUACCGCAAACCGACACAGGUGGGUAGGUAGAGAAUACCAAGGCGCUUGAGAGAACUCGGGUUAAGGAACUCGGCAAA
rnacentral:rRNA from 1 species